rnacentral:rRNA from 17 species
CACCAGGUUGAUUCUGCCUGACGUGGACGCUAGCCUUGAAGAUUAAGCCAUGCAAGCUUGUGAAUAUUAUAUAUGAAACAGUGAACGGCUCAGUAUAACACGUCUAUCUACCCCAUAUUAUUUAUAACCACGGGAAACUGUGGCUAAGUAUUAGGAUGAGGAUGUGACCUAUCAGCUUGACGGUACGGUAAGUGCGUACCGUGGCUAUAACGGGUAACGGGGAAUAUGGGUUUUAUUCCGGAGAGGGAGCCUGAGAGAUGGCUGCCACGUCCAAGGACGGCAGCAGGCGCGAAACUUACCCAAUGAACAUUGAGGUAGUUACGAGGCGUAUUAUUAGUGUAUAUGGUGUGUAUAAACAGCACACCGAAGUACUGGAGGGCAAGUCUGGUGCCAGCAGCCGCGGUAAUACCAGCUCCAGUAGCGUCUGUGUUUAUUGCUGCGGUUAAAAUGUGCGUAGUCUGGUUAGUGGUCUGGAGUAAAUCUUUUGUAUCUAACAACAGGGUAUUCUAGAGACUUAUACCUUGAGACAGGGAAGAGGCGAUGAUAUUUGGUAGCGAGAGGUGAAAAUCGAUGACCUACCAAGGAGCACCGGAGGCGAAAGCGAUCGCCGAGAACUGUUCUGACGAUCAAGCGCGUGAGCAGGAGUAUCGAAGAGGAUUAGAGACCCACGUAGUUCCUUGCAGUCAACGAUGCCAACGCUGUGGUGGUAUUUACCAUUGCAGAGGCGAAAGCUAGUGUAUGGGCUCCGGGGAUAGUACGGACGCAAGUUUGAAACUUGAAGAAAUUGACGGAAGGACACCACAAGGAGUGGAGUGUGCGGGUUAAUUUGACUCAACGCGGGAAAACUUACCCGGGCAGGCAAUUGUCGAGGGAAGCUAUUGUAGCUGAUGAUAUUGCGCGUGGUGCAUGGCCGUUCUUAACACGUGGAGUGAUCUGUCUGGUCAAAUCUGAUAACGCGUGAGAGGUGAGUGGUUGCUUUUGUGACUAGACGGUGUCUGUAAAGACAAGGAAGCGACACCCAAUAACAGGUCUGUGAUGCCCGUAGAUGUCCGGGGCUCCACGCGCACUACAAUGGGUGGUAGUAUUAGUAAAGUGUAGCUAGCCGUAGUUGGGAUUGACAUAUGUAAUUAUGUCAUGAACGUGGAAUUCCUAGUAGUUGGUAGUCACUAACGACUAACGAAUGUGUCCCUGUUCUUUGUACACACCGCCCGUCGUUAUCUAAGAUGGAAGUGCGGGUGAAGAUGCGAGCAGUCAGGUGAUGGGGAUAAGUGUUUGUGAGUAAUGAAUGCUUGGAACUGUUGCUGGUAAAUGAUUGUGAGUGUAAGAACCCGUGCAGCUAAAUUGGAUGUAAGUCGUAACAAGGUAACCNNNNNNNNNNNNNNNNNNNNNNNNNNN